rnacentral:rRNA from 1 species
CCUACGGGAGGCAGCAGUGAGGAAUAUUGGUCAAUGGACGAGAGUCUGAACCAGCCAAGUAGCGUGAAGGAUGACUGCCCUAUGGGUUGUAAACUUCUUUUAUAUGGGAAUAAAAUGUUCCACGUGUGGGAUUUUGUAUGUACCAUAUGAAUAAGGAUCGGCUAACUCCGUGCCAGCAGCCGCGGUAAUACGGAGGGUCCGAGCGUUAUCCGGAUUUAUUGGGUUUAAAGGGAGCGUAGGUGGAUUGUUAAGUCAGUUGUGAAAGUUUGCGGCUCAACCGUAAAAUUGCAGUUGAAACUGGCAGUCUUGAGUACAGUAGAGGUGGGCGGAAUGCGUGGUGUAGCGGUGAAAUGCUUAGAUAUCACGAAGAACUCCGAGUGCGAAGGCAGUUCACUGGACUGCAACUGACACUGAGGCUCGAAAGUGUGGGUAUCAAACAGGAUUAGAUACCCGAGUAGUC